AUUGAACGCUGGCGGCAUGCCUUACACAUGCAAGUCGAACGGUAACAGGUCUUUCGGGAUGCUGACGAGUGGCGAACGGGUGAGUAAUACAUCGGAACGUGCCUAGUAGUGGGGGAUAACUACUCGAAAGAGUGGCUAAUACCGCAUGAGAUCUAUGGAUGAAAGCAGGGGACCUUCGGGCCUUGUGCUACUAGAGCGGCCGAUGGCAGAUGAGGUAGUUGGUGGGAUAAAAGCUUACCAAGCCUGCGAUCUGUAGCUGGUCUGGGAGGACGAUCAGCCACACUGGGACUGAGACACGGCCCAGACUCCUACGAGAGGCAGCAGUGGGGAAUUUUGGACAAUGGGGAAAACCCUGAUCCAGCAAUGCCGCGUGCAGGAUGAAGGCCUUCGGGUUGUAAACUGCUUUUGUACGGAACGAAAAGUCUUGGGUUAAUACCCUGGGAUCAUGACGGUACCGUAAGAAUAAGCACCGGCUAACUACGUGCCAGCAGCCGCCGUAAAAC
rnacentral:rRNA from 1 species